GACGAACGCUGGCGGCGUGCCUAAUACAUGCAAGUAGAACGCUGAAGAGAUGAUCUUGCUCUUCUUGGAUGAGUUGCGAACGGGUGAGUAACGCGUAUGUAACCUGCCUUGUAGCGGGGUAUAACUAGUGGAAACGAUAGCUAAUACCGCAUAACAAUGGAUUACACAUUUCAUUUAUUUAAAAGUGGCAAUUUCUCCAUUGACAGAUGGACCUUCGUUGUAUUAGCUAGUAGGUGGGUUAAUGGAUCACGUAGGGGACGAUACAUAGCCGACCUGCAGUGGGGAUCGGCCACCCUGGGACUGAGACCCGGCCCAGACUCCUUCGGGAGGCAGCAGUAGGGAAUCUUCGGCAAUAGGGGCAAACCUGACCGAGAAACGCCGCGUGAGUGAAGAAGGUUGUCGGAUCGUAAAGGUCUGUUGUAAGUCAAGAACGGGUGUGAGAGUGGAAAGUUCACACUGUGACGGUAGCUUACAAGAAAGGGACGGCUAACUACGUG
rnacentral:rRNA from 1 species